GCCGUGGUCUGUUGGUUGGCAGGGUUCACUGUAAGUCCCCUCAGGUCACGGGUUCGAUCUCCAGUGGCGCUAGGUUCUCGAAUAUUUAAGCACAUGGCACGGGCUCUCAUUAUGGGUCUAGCACAUGGAAAAUCGAUAUUUGGGCCUCUGCCAAAUACUGAUUUUCUUUUUAAAUAAAAAAAUUGUAUGCAUGCACAUUCACGCGCGCACACAAACAGGUAUAAGUCACUUUCCCUUAAUAGUUGACUCUUCCAUUUUUCUAGGAGCUUUGCUACUAUUUUGCAUUAAAGCCCAUCCAAUCACCACAUUAGUCAUCUAUCCUGUGAGGCAUCCUAUCAUUUGAUUUAGAGCCUGCUUCACAUUAAUUGCAUCAUCACGUCCAUUCACCAAGGAUCUUUACCUUGUUCGUGCCUUCGUGGCUUCCUUCCAAUCCAAGUCCUACCAAAUUACUAAAAUUUGUGUUUGCCAAAAUACUCUUACCAAAGAGACCCAACCUGCAACAACUCGUGAUCACUCACUCAUGUUGCUCCCAUAUUUCCUUCUAAUACAAGCACAAGCUAGUUUAUGCUCACCUGCUGGCUGCGUGUUCUCCAUAAAAAACCUAAACUUCCCUUCUUUUCCAUAUUUGCACAUAUAUAAGCAAAAAAAAAA